rnacentral:rRNA from 1 species
UGGGGAAUAUUGCACAAUGGGCGCAAGCCUGAUGCAGCUAUGCCGCGUGUAUGAAGAAGGCCUUCGGGUUGUAAAGUACUUUCAGCGGGGAGGAAGGGAGUAAAGUUAAUACCUUUGCUCAUUGACGUUACCCGCAGAAGAAGCACCGGCUAACUCCGUGCCAGCAGCCGCGGUAAUACGGAGGGUCCAAGCGUUAAUCGGAAUUACUGGGCGUAAAGCGCACGCAGGCGGUUGAUUGAGUCAGAUGUGAAAUCCCCGGGCUUAACCCGGGAAUUGCAUCUGAUACUGGUCAGCUAGAGUCUUGUAGAGGGGGGUAGAAUUCCAUGUGUAGCGGUGAAAUGCGUAGAGAUGUGGAGGAAUACCGGUGGCGAAGGCGGCCCCCUGGACAAAGACUGACGCUCAGGUGCGAAAGCGUGGGGAGCAAACAGG